CAGGAAACACCUCCGAGCUGGGAACCGCCAGAAGAGCUCUGCAGCUGGCAGGGCACGCAGACAGCCGGCCUGUCGGGGCACGCCUCUGCGUUCCCAGAGCCAAAAACAUGAAAUCUCCCCUGUCAUCCUGAAUUCUUUUGAUGAUGAGAGAAGGCAACUGAGAAGUUCUGUUGCACAACCUUCAAGAUCAAAUGGUAAUUUAUUUCCAAUGCUCUUUGUUUCCUUGCACAACACACGGGCUCGGCAAUUAGCUGGAAGCAAAUAUUCCUCCUCGUUUUGCUCGAGCGUAGUUCGAGCGGUGUCCCACAAGCUUAGCAUUAACAUUAUCAGCUGCAAGCAUUGUUGAAGCUCAGACCAUUCGCCUGUGGUCUGCUUUUAUAUGCUGAAGCAUUCUUAAUGCAGUCUCGUUGCUGCCUGGGAAAGAAACCAGGCGGAGGUUCCUUCUCCUCGCAAGCUGCUGUAACAAACAGCUGUUGGAAGCACUCUGCAGCACGGCUCAGCGCACUGUUAGGGCAGCACGGAAGGAAAGCUCCACGCGAAAGCUUUCAUGCCAGGCUGUGUUGUUCCCAUCCCGCCUCCUACGCGGAGCACCAGGUCCCCUCCUGCACUGCUCAGCGUUGCUCUCCAGUGCUUUCUCCCACUGUGUUGGCUUUCUCCUGUUCAAACAAAGCAGGUUAUAUAAGAGCCGUGUCUUCAGGAUAGGCCCGUGUACACAGCAGCCGGCUCCCAGCAAAACAGAACUGGUGUGAGCGGAGGCGCACUGCGUCACCUGUGCUCACUGGGGAAGAAAUUUGGAUAGGCCAGAGAUCUUCGGUCAACACACGUUUGAUGAUGGACGAAAAGACUGCAGAGAGCCGUGUGAGCAGCGAUAAGUGCUUCUCAGAAAGGGCAGCCAAUCCCAGAGGCCUCCGCUAUUUUCCCCCCUUCAGAAUGAGGGGAGGUGAAAUUACCUGCCAGCUCCUCCACUGCUCAAUCCUGAGAGCUGGAGGGCGAGCCAAGGACGUGGUGCUGACUGUGCUGAUGCCCGAGAGCAAUUUCAGCACCCAGGAAACUCUUCUCUUGUCUUUGCAUCGGGAGUCUUCGGAUAGAAAUCAAAGAGCAAAAUUAAGUCACCCAAGCACUGGAGUGGUUCAGAGCCCAUUGCUGGCCAAUGCCUGGGCUGCACCUGGGCAGAUCCAAGGUGAGGCCUUAGCGGCCUGGAGCACCUUCUUUAUUAGGUAGAUCAGGCCAUGCCACAGCUGGGUCCCACUCUGCACAGCGCAUACUGCAUGAGGAGAGCAUCAGCUGCACCUGCAGCAUGGAUUUAUUGCUCACCAUCUCUGAGCCUACAACUCCAGAGGGAAAAAUGAUAGCGUG
ensembl:lncRNA